GGAGGGAUCAUUACAGAGUUGCAAAACUCCCAACCAUUGUGAACCUUACCUAGCGAUGCUCUGGUGGGCGGCCCUCGCGGCCGGCAGCCCCCUCGGGGGAGGCACCCCGCCGGACUCGUUAAACUCUUAUCAUGGCCUCUCUGAGUAACAAACAAAUAAGUUAAAACUUUCAACAACGGAUCUCUUGGCUCUGGCAUCGAUGAAGAACGCAGCGAAAUGCGAUAAGUAAUGUGAAUUGCAGAAUUCAGUGAAUCAUCGAAUCUUUUGAACGCACAUUGCGCCCGCCAGUAUUCUGGCGGGCAUGCCUGUUCGAGCGUCAUUUCAACCAUCAAGCCCCGUGCUUGUGUUGGGGACCUGCGGCCGCCGCAGCCCCCUAAAUACAGUGGCGGUCUCGUUGUCAUACCGAGUGCAGUAAUCUUCUACGCUUAGGGAAUGGCGGCGGGUUCUGGCCGUUAAACUACCAAAUUAUCAAGGUUGACCUCGGAUCAGGUAGGAAUACCCGCUGAACUUAAGCAUAUCAAUAAGCGGAGGAAAAGAAACCAACAGGGAUUGCCUCAGUAACGGCGAGUGAAGCGGCAACAGCUCAAAUUUGAAAUCUGGCUUCGGCCCGAGUUGUAAUUUGCAGAGGAAUCUUCUGGUGCGGUGCCGUCCGAGUCCCCUGGAACGGGGCGCCAUAGAGGGUGAGAGCCCCGUAUGGAUGGACGCCAAACCUGUGUGAAGAUCCUUCGACGAGUCGAGUAGUUUGGGAAUGCUGCUCUAAAUGGGAGGUAAAUUCCUUCUAAAGCUAAAUAUAGGCCAGAGACCGAUAGCGCACAAGUAGAGUGAUCGAAAGAUGAAAAGCACUUUGAAAAGAGGGUUAAAUAGCACGUGAAAUUGUUGAAAGGGAAGCGCUUGUGACCAGACUUGCGCCCGGGCGAUCAUCCGGCGUUCUCGCCGGUGCACUCGUCCGGGAACAGGCCAGCAUCGGUUUCCGCCGGGGGACAAAGGUCCCGGGAACGUAGCUCCUUAGGGAGUGUUAUAGCCCGGGGCGUAAUACCCUAGCGGGGACCGAGGACCGCGCAUCUGCAAGGAUGCUGGCGUAAUGGUCAUCAGCGACCCGUCUUGAAACACGGACCAAGGAGUCAAGGUUUUGCGCGAGUGUUUGGGUGUCAAACCCGCACGCGUAAUGAAAGUGAACGUAGGUGAGAGCUUCGGCGCAUCAUCGACCGAUCCUGAUGUAUUCGGAUGGAUUUGAGUAGGAGCGUUAAGCCUUGGACCCGAAAGAUGGUGAACUAUGCUUGGAUAGGGUGAAGCCAGAGGAAACUCUGGUGGAGGCUCGCAGCGGUUCUGACGUGCAAAUCGAUCGUCAAAUCUGAGCAUGGGGGCGAAAGACUAAUCGAACCAUCUAGUAGCUGGUUACCGC
rnacentral:misc_RNA from 1 species